GGAACGAAACGGCUCCCCUCAGUUCCAUCACGGCGAGCCGGGACGAUAAGUCGUCGUUGCAUUUUCGUCUCUGAAACUUUUUUUUUUCCAUCCUUCCCGAUAUAAUUAUUCUUCGAUCCACGCGCACAUCAUUCUACCGUUUGUUUGUUUGUUUGUUUGUUUGGUUUCUUUUUUUUUGGUUGAUCUGCUCGUGUGAAUAUAAAAUAGAUAAAAUAAAAAAAAUAACAUUACGAUAAUAAUCGUCGAGAUCCGGGAAAGUGAUUAAGAGAAGAAACACGUCGUUGUCGUCAUUGUUACAGAAAAUAAGACACAAUCAAGAAGAAGAAAUAAUAGAUAAAUAGAAAAAUAGAAGAAAAAGAAGAUUUAAAAAAAGUACGACAGACGUCACAUCGAAGCUGACUCUCCUUUUUCUAUCAACUAUUCGUCUAUUCAUCUACAACGCCAAAUUCAUUUUGAAUUUCAUCCUUGCUGACUUCUGGAUUACGCGUCAAAUUACGUGCCGAAGGGGGAAGCUUAAUAUCACGAGAAGAAGGAUAGGAGCAGGGUGAGAGGGGUGUAGCUGUUGAGGGGGAAAGGAACAAGGUGUAUUCAAGUGAGGUGGUGCAAUUGCAAGGAACGAAAGACGACCCCCAUAACCAUUGCAUUUUUCGCUGUUCAAGAAGAAUCUACUGUAAGGAGACGAGACAUAGGAUGGGCUCAUCCGUGCGAGCACUCGUUCUACAUUGAAGAGGAGGAGUACCGUAAGGGUGGUGGUGGUGG